UGGAGGGCAAGUCUGGUGCCAGCAGCCGCGGUAAUUCCAGCUCCAAUAGCGUAUAUUAAAGUUGUUGCGGUUAAAAAGCUCGUAGUUGAAUCUGUGUGUCACAGUGUCGGUUCACCGCUCGCGGUGUCUAACUGGCAUUAUGUGGUACGUCCUACCGGUGGACUUAGCUCCUUGCGGGCGGUCCAACUAAUCUCCCAUCGCGGUGCUCUUCACUGAGUGUCGAGGUGGGCCGGUACGUUUACUUUGAACAAAUUAGAGUGCUCAAAGCAGGCUACCUUCGCCUGAAUACUGCGUGCAUGGAAUAAUGGAAUAGGACCUCGGUUCUAUUUUGUUGGUUUUCGGAACCCCGAGGUAAUGAUUAAUAGGGACAGAUGGGGGCAUUCGUAUUGCGACGUUAGAGGUGAAAUUCUUGGAUCGUCGCAAGACGGACUAAAGCGAAAGCAUUUGCCAAAAAUGUUUUCAUUAAUCAAGAACGAAAGUUAGAGGUUCGAAGGCGAUCAGAUACCGCCCUAGUUCUAACCAUAAACGAUGCCAGCUAGCGAUCCGCCGAAGUUCCUCCGAUGACUCGGCGGGCAGCUUCCGGGAAACCAAAGCUUUUGGGU
rnacentral:rRNA from 1 species